CUCUCGUCACUUCCGGCUCCCAGUGCUCUCUCAAAUCUAGGCUAGCGGAGCUUAAUAGAGAUCGGACGGUGGAGCCUUCCCCCCCCUCAGACGCUCCAGAUGUAGACUAGGUGAGCACUCUGCCCCGGAGGCACAGACCGCGGGAGCCCGCGGGCGGAAGGCGUGCCGUGCCGGGGUUAGGGCUCUGGAGUCCGGCCCGGCCCGGCCCGGCAGUCCCCUGAGCUUGAAAGACUUGAAUGCCUCCUCAGUUGUCACCCAGGCUUAUCUUGCGUAGCCUGUUGGCUUCUCGUGGAGUUUGAGUUUUUGGACAGUAAAGUAGGAUGGCUGUGUUGCCCAGACAGGAGAAGAAAAAGAAGAACCUGUUGGUUAAGUUCUGGAGACAUUUUUGUUGUUGUUUACUGAACAUGUGAAGGGAGGUCUUUCUGCCUUGCCUGUUUUAUUUUCAGGAAGCAGGGUUGGGAGUGAACCCUGAAGCUGAGACAGCCAUCCUGAAGCUAAAACAAGCUGGAAGAACAAAUAAACCCCAGUUUCUUGCAUCCUGGCUGAUGUAUUUAGUGAAUGGCCUAGGGGGCUGAACAACCUGCAUUAAAGCUUGCUGCAGAUACGUGAGACAGAGUCAACUGAGAUUGGGGCAGCUCUCCAAGACAGAUGCUGUGCCCAAUUUAAAAAAACAAAGUCAAAUAGAAUGGGGUUUGGGUUUGAACUUUUGUUUUUUUUCAGAUGACCUCAGUAUGUAGCCUACGACUUUUUUUAAACUGGUGUUUCUCCUGCCUGAGCCCUCUGAAUACUAGGAAUGCAGGUAUGCGCCAUGGGGUUGAGGUGUUAGCCAUUUCUAAAAUAAAACAAACCUGUAAGGCUUUAAGUAACUCUAAAAAUAAAAAUAAAAUGGCAUUUUGUACA
rnacentral:lncRNA from 1 species